rnacentral:rRNA from 1 species
UAGGGAAUCUUCGGCAAUGGACGAAAGUCUGACCGAGCAACGCCGCGUGAGUGAAGAAGGUUUUCGGAUCGUAAAACUCUGUUGUCAGAGAAGAACAAGGACGUUAGUAACUGAACGUCCCCUGACGGUAUCUAACCAGAAAGCCACGGCUAACUACGUGCCAGCAGCCGCGGUAAUACGUAGGUGGCAAGCGUUGUCCGGAUUUAUUGGGCGUAAAGCGAGCGCAGGCGGUUUCUUAAGUCUGAUGUGAAAGCCCCCGGCUCAACCGGGGAGGGUCAUUGGAAACUGGGAGACUUGAGUGCAGAAGAGGAGAGUGGAAUUCCAUGUGUAGCGGUGAAAUGCGUAGAUAUAUGGAGGAACACCAGUGGCGAAGGCGGCUCUCUGGUCUGUAACUGACGCUGAGGCUCGAAAGCGUGGGGAGCAAACAGG